CAAGCUCCACCUGCCCUCCGCCCCUCCCUCCUUUUUUUCCCCCCACAGAUCCCGUUCAGACCCCGAACCUGGACUGACUGCCGCAGAAGGUCGGGCGUGGCCCGACCUUACACGCUCCGCAAAUCCUCAGAGGGAGUCUGUGCGCGCGACGCCCCCCUGUAGAGCCACAUUCACUGGAAAGCUCUCAACACAUCAUGUCAAGAUGGAACGAGUCUGGAAGUAACAACAGUGAUCUGAGUUGUUAACGUCAGAACUGUUUGUUGCUGUCUACGUUUGCAAGUCUCAUGCACAAAGCCACCACCCCUAUCACCCCCAUAACUCUAGUCAAUAAUUUCUGAAGCACACGAAUUCAUUUGGUUCAGUGAGACUGCCUCAUAUUUCUUCACGAAUUCGCCAGUGUCUAGGAGGGCAUUCCUCCUUGAUAGUAUUUUUAUCUUCAAAAUCUCUUGACAAACUGAGAAACUGAUAUAUUGCAUUACAGUUAAAAUGUGGUUUUAUAAAUGUCGACUUUGAAAGUACAGUAGAAAUGUCUUUUUCUCCCAGAGUUAACUAGGAACUUUUGAAAAUUUUAUAAAUCUUAUUUUUUGACAAUUUCGUUUUGUUUUUUUUUUUUCCCCCUCAAGACAGGGUCUCUGUAGUUCUGGCUCUCACUCUGUAACCCAGUCAGCCUCAAACUCAGAUUUGUCUACCUCUGCCUCCCAGCUGCUGCGAUUAAAGUUGUGCUGCUGGCUUUGAACUCACUCUUCACCUGCCUCUCUUGUGUUGUUAUUACUAAUAGGAGUUUGCCACCAUACCAAGCAUUCUCUCGUGUUUUCUUAGCAGUCCAAAGUGUUAGUUGCCUGUUAUCUCAGAUUCUAAAAUUUCAUUCUUCCUAGUAUUUAUUACAUAGGCCUUCUUUUUUUUUUUUCUAACAUAGACCUUCUUAAUGCUGGGACCACUUACUAUAGUUCUCAUUUUUCGGUGACCCCCUCAACAAUAAAAUUAUUUUUGUUGCUACUACAUAGCUUGCAAUUCUGCUACUUUUAUGAAUUGUAAUGUAAGCAUGUUUUCAGAUGGUCUUAAGGGACCCCUGUUGAAGAGGUGGUGGGGUGGUUUGGCCAAAGGGAUCAUUGAGAACAGCUGACAUAGACCAUAGUCUUUACUUAGUAAUUUUGUUUGUUUUGUAGAUGGUGGCGUGCUUUGAAUUUAAGCAGUGUGUGCUACAAAGUAUAAAGCUAGCCUAGGACUAUGAGACACUAUCUCAAAAAAAAAAAAAAAAAAAAAAAAGGAGUGGGUAUCCUACUUCAGAUUGUGCCCUUGAACUACAGUUCACCCUGUGCUGAGGUCACAAGGGUGUGAUGCCACGCCCUGCCUUUGUGAGUUAUCCACACACAUAACACCUAACAGGUUUAAAAAGAACUUUGCGACCUGCCUUUGUUGAGAUAUUGUGGACUUACUAGUUUUAGGUAUUUUUACAUUUGUGUCUGGAGAUGGAACUUUGGUUCGUGUCAUCCUCAGUAAUUCAAUCUUCCUCCUUUGAGACAGGUUCCCUCCUGAGUCUUGGGAAUCAAACUCAGGUCCUCAUGGUCCUGUGGCAAGCUCUGCUUCUCCUCUGUACCAACCAAUCUUCCAGUACCCUUCCCACAUCUCACCCCUUUUUGGCCUCAUCUCACACUGUAUCUGAGACUCAGGUUGCAAUGAAGUUUUAGCAUUCCUGCCUCAGCAUCCCAAAUGCUAGGGUUGUGAAUAUAAUCCACUGUGGUCUGCUUUUUUCCCCCUCUUUCAUAUUUACACAUUGAAUUUAAGUAUACUUAUUUGUGUUUAAUGAACAAAGGUGAAGUUAUCAGUAGUCAGAGAUUUUCUGCAGCCAUUGACUUCUGUCAUUGUACUGUUAGUAGACAUCAAGUGAUUCUAAUUUAAGUGACAACUUCCUUGUGCUGUGUAAAUAUCUUUGCACAGGUUUUGUUUACUAUCUUAGCAUAAAUUCCUAGAAAUGACAUCAUCACUGGACCAAAUGGUGGGCAUGUUUUCGAGGGUGCUUUCCAGAAAGUGCAUUUUUGUACAGUUUCCAUUGCCUCUCAAUCUCAAGAAAGAAUCUUUCUUUUUUAAGCCCCAAAAUAGAAAAAAUAUUAAGUAUACUUGAAGAGGACAACAGGCAGUAGUGGAGCACACCUUGGAUCCCAGCGCUGGUGGCAGAGGCAGGUGGAUCUCUGUGUUUAAGGCCAGCCUGGACUACAGAGCGAGUUCCAGGACAGCCAGGGCUGUUACACAGAGAAACCCUGCCUCAAGAAGAGAACAGGCUAGGCCUCAACUAGAGAGUUGCCUGCUAGAGUUUUUGUUUUGUUUUAUUUACAGGUUGCUAAGGCAGAAAGCAGCCUGUAAUUUUAUCAUUAGCCAGACCCUAUAGUUUCAUCUGUAGUCUUAGCCGACCUAGGCUGCAUUCCCAA
rnacentral:sRNA from 1 species